ACAUUGGACAAUGAUGAAUACUACACGUCUAGUAUUUCUCUCAAUACUAGAUUGUAGAUGGAUCCUCAUUUGCCCACCAGAAUAGAACAGAAAAAAGCAGAUGACUCCUUUGUCUCACCCGUUCCUCCUCAUUUCCUUGUUGAUGGCCGAUUCCUCUCAAACUCUCUCUUCAGUUAACAGGAAAGGGGAAACAAGGAUGAAGGGGGAAGAUGUUUGAUUCUUCUCAGCCAUCUGAAUCACUUUUUUUCAAAUGUAAUCAUGUCUCUCCAAACAUAGGAGCAAGACCCUUCGUCCCUCUGCUAAGAUGUGGAAUAAUCUGAUAUAGAUAAUUUCUUCUCGCGUGAAUGUCUACCCUACUCUUAAAUAUCAAUGGUGGAAUUCAAGUUUAAAAGGUAAUACCUUUACCUUUCAACCAAUAUUUUUCUUCAGCAAGAAUAACAAAGAUGCAAAUGUCUCGCUGUUGGAGCUCCUGUUUUCUUGGCACCUUUUUUCCUUUUAGAUUUGUUAUUAGUUUUUUUUCCAGUGUUGUAGUUGCAUGUUUGAAGAUUUUGUCACGGAUUACUAACAUUCCUCAGCAGAUGAAUGGUAAGUUUUAUGGAACUGAAAAGUACUUGUUAUAUAUUUCCUUUUGAACGAUGAAGAAAAUAGUUAGCUAUCUUUCUUUAAAUUUGAGAGAUUUCUCGAUUUCACGUGGUGCUUUAAGGCUGUAAAUUUUGGCUCUUGUGCAAUAUAGCAGAAAGUUACUCUAUUCCUUGAGUUUGUUAUUGAGUAUGGUAAAUAUUCAAUGCAUUUUAGUUGGCUUUAAUUUAGGUGGUUUUACUCCCUAGCUCUUUCGAAUGAUUAGGAACAAAUGGUCACUUGUGAAAAGAUUAUCUAGAAAUUUUGAAAGUGGGAAAAGUCAUUUGAUUCUAAGUAUUUUUUCUACUAUUUUUUUUUACUCUGGAUUUUCAGCUGAUCUGAUUUUGCUUUUUUUUUUUUUUCUUUUUUGUGGUUAUCUACCUUGCAGGUUUAUAUACUACUCUUGACUCACAAAAGGCAAUCUGUGAGAUGUCUCAAACGAAAAGGCAGUCAUUUUUUAACAGACUGUAAAUUAUGUAUCAUAAACUGGAAAUGGAUCAUAUUGCUACAUCAUUAUUAUAUUUCUCUAUUAAUCUAAAAAUUUUCAUAGUUCAUUGCAUCCAUCCAAAAAAUGGCUCUUCCUUUGUUUUUGAAACUUAUUUAUACUCAGCUUACAUAUCUUGGUUUGAUUCCUUUUUAGGUGAAAAUGUAAGCAGGAGGUGAUGGUAAUUUUGCUAGAGGCUUCAAGAUUUUAAUUGAUUUACUCGUAAAUGCUUCAAAUUGAAUAGCAAGAGGGGGUGAGGACGCUCUUGCUUGGAUGGUGCUAGAUAAUUAUCCCAUUUACCAAGCCUUUAUUGUCUCCAAAUGAGAAAUUGACUACUUUCACAUUGGUUAAGGUCCUAAGGAUAACUUGAGACGUGGUGAAGAGGAGGAUGAUGACGAUGUAGCUAUUCAAGAAAAGGGUCCAGCUUCUGCACUGCUAAUAGUUUGGCACGUUUUGCUUCAGCUUCAAAUUCAAGAUUGAGGCUUCUGCCAUCUAAGUGAGGUGCUGCUGAUGCUUUUGAUGUUGUCCAUUCAGGCAAAAGCUGUUGUACUGCUUUCUCCAUCAGUUGAUAUUUUGAAAUUUUUAUCUCUACAUCAACUUUCUGGCAUUGAAUAAUUUUUUGGAGAACUAUGUAGAUUCAGAUAUAGAUUUUGUUAGAUUCAAAUGGGGCUGAAUGUGUACAUAUUCAAAGAUCAUGUGACAAGGUGGAGAAACUUUGAA